rnacentral:rRNA from 1 species
GACGAACGCUGGCGGCGUGCUUAACACAUGCAAGUCGAACGGUGAAGCGCCUUCCUUUUUGGCGGGUGAGGAUGAGUGGCGAACGGGUGAGUAACACGUGAGUAACUUGCCUUCUUCUUCUGGAUAACCGCAGGAAAGAGUGGCUAAUACGGGAAAUUCUGGGUCUGUCGCAUGAUGGGUCUGGGAAAGAUACUGUUUCGGUUGGGGAUGGGCUCGCGGCCUAUCAGCUUGUUGGUGGGGUGAUGGCCUACCAAGGCGGCGACGGGUGGCCGGCCCGGGAGGGUGGACGGUCACACUGGGACAGAGACACGGCCCAGACUCCUACGGGAGGCAGCGGUGGGGAAUAGUGAACGAUGGGCGCAAGCCUGAGGCAGCGACGCUGCGUGAGGGAUGGAGGCCUGCGGUUUGUGAACCUCUUUCGCGAGUGAAGCAGGCCUGCCUCGUAUGUGGGUGGGUUGACGGUAGCUGGAUAAGAAGCGCCGGCUAACUACGUG